ACCAGACUCCUACGGGAGGCAGCAGUGGGGAAUAUUGCACAAUGGGGGAAACCCUGAUGCAGCGACGCCGCGUGAGUGAAGAAGUAUUUCGGUAUGUAAAGCUCUCUCAGCAGGGAAGAAAAACCGACCAUAGGGCCGCUAGACGGUACCUGAUUAAGAAGCCCCGGCUAACUACGUGCCAGCAGCCGCGGUAAUACGUAGGGGGCAAGCGUUAUCCGGAUUUACUGGGUGUAAAGGGAGCGUAGACGGCAGCGCAAGUCUGAAGUGAAAUGCCGGGGCUUAACCCCGGAACUGCUUUGGAAACUGAGCAGCUAGAGUGCAGGAGAGGUAGGUGGAAUUCCUAGUGUAGCGGUGAAAUGCGUAGAUAUUAGGAGGAACACCAGUGGCGAAGGCGGCUUACUGGACUGUAACUGACGUUGAGGCUCGAAAGCGUGGGGAGCAAACAGGAUUAGAUACCCCAGUA
rnacentral:rRNA from 1 species